rfam:Canis lupus familiaris chromosome 6, whole genome shotgun sequence.
GCCUGGGUGGCUCAGUGGUUGAGCGUCUGCUUUCAGCUCAGGGAGUGAUCCUGGAAUUCUGGGAUCAAGUCCCACAUCAGGCU